rnacentral:misc_RNA from 1 species
GAAAUGCGAUAAGUAGUGUGAAUUGCAGAAUUCAGUGAAUCAUCGAAUCUUUGAACUCACAGUGCGCCCCUUGGUAUUCCAUGGGGCAUGCCUGUUCGAGCGUCAUUUGUACCCUCAAGCUUAGCUUGGUGUUGGGCGUCUUGUCCUCUUCUGGAGGACUCGCCGCAAAACAAUUGGCAGCCGGCAUGUUGGUAUCGGAGCGCAGCACAAGUAGCACUUUCUUCCAUGAAUGUUGGCAACCAUCAAGGCCAUUUUUUCACUCUUGACCUCGGAUCAGGUAGGGAUACCCGCUGAACUUAA